rnacentral:rRNA from 1 species
UACGGAGGGUGCAAGCGUUAUCCGGAUUCACUGGGUUUAAAGGGUGCGUAGGCGGAUAGGUAAGUCCGUGGUGAAAAUCCUGCAGCUUAACUGCAGAACUGCCGUGGAUACUAUCUAUCUUGAAUGUCGUGGAGGUUAGCGGAAUAUGUCAUGUAGCGGUGAAAUGCUUAGAUAUGACAUAGAACACCCAUUGCGAAGGCAGCUAACUACGCGAUAAUUGACGCUGAUGCACGAAAGCGUGGGGAUCAAACAGG